rnacentral:rRNA from 1 species
UACGAAGGGGGCUAGCGUUGUUCGGAAUUACUGGGCGUAAAGCGCGUGUAGGCGGGGCUUUAAGUCAGGGGUGAAAUGCCAAGGCUCAACCUUGGAACUGCCUUUGAUACUGGAGACCUUGAGUCCGGGAGAGGUGAGUGGAAUUGCGAGUGUAGAGGUGAAAUUCGUAGAUAUUCGCAAGAACACCAGUGGCGAAGGCGGCUCACUGGCCCGGAACUGACGCUGAGGAGCGAAAGCGUGGGGAGCGAACAGG